rnacentral:rRNA from 1 species
UAGGGAAUCUUCCGCAAUGGACGAAAGUCUGACGGAGCAACGCCGCGUGAGUGAAGAAGGAUUUCGGUUCGUAAAACCCUGUUGUUAGGGAAGAAAAAAUGUAUAGCAACUAUAUACAAAAGAGACGGUACCUAACCAGAAAGCCACGGCUAACUACGUGCCAGCAGCCGCGGUAAUACGUAGGUGGCAAGCGUUGUCCGGAAUUAUUGGGCGUAAAGCGCGCGCAGGUGGUUUAGAAAGUCUGAUGUGAAAGCCCACGGCUCAACCGUGGAGGGUCAGUGGAAACUAAUGAACUUGAGUGCAGAAGAGAAAAGUGGAAUUCCUGGUGUAGCGGUGAAAUGCGUAGAGAUUAGGAGGAACACCAGUGGCGAAGGCGGCUUUUUGGCCUGCAACUGACGCUGAGGCGCGAAAGCGUGGGGAGCAAACAGG